CUGGUUCGUCAGGCCAACAAAUGUCUGUACUUCUUACCAAAGAAAUUUUGGAUCUCUGCUUUCUCACUUACAAACAGCUGGUAUGAAGAGGACGGUAUAUUGAAUGCAGAUGAGAAUACUUUGGAGACCAGCCAAAAUGUUGGAGAAGGAAAGUCAUCAUCGAAGUUUCCAGACCUCAGAGAGGAGACAAAUCACAUCCCUGAGGACCCCAGCAAGUACCUUACAGGGACAGGCAGCACCCAGGUGGAAAAUUCUGGCCUUGUCAAGGGGGGUGAUUUUAUUAAGAAAGAGGAACCCAAACCUCUCCAGCCUUCCUUUAUUGUCAAAAAGAAACCGAGAAAUAUGUGGUGUGAGGCAGGGAGGAGGGAAGAGACAGAAUCCAGAAUAACAUGGUGUUGGAAGGGACCUCUGGAGAUCAUCUCCUCCAACCCCCUGCCAGAGCAGGGUCACCCAGAGCAGGUCCCACAGGAACGUGUCCAGGUGGGUUUGAAUGUCUCCAGAGAAGGAGACUCCACCACCUCUCUGGGCAGCCUCUGCCAGGGCCCUGCCACCCUCACAGGAAAGAAGUUCCUCCUCAUGUUUAGAUGGAACUUCCCAUGUUCCAGUUUGUGCCCAUUUCCUCUUGUCCUGUCCCUGGGCACCCCUGAAAAAAGACCAGCCCCAUCCUCCUGACACCCACCCUUGAAGUAUUUAUAGGCAUUGAUCAGAUCCCCCCUUAGUCUUCUCCAGACCAGAAAGACCCAAGUCCCUCAGCCUUUCCUCCUGAGAGAGAUGCUCCAGGCCCCUCAUCAUCUUUGUAGCCCCCUGCUGUACCAGCAGUUGCCUGACCUUCUUGAACUGGGGAGCCCAGAACUGGACACAAUACUCCAGAUGAGAUCUGGUGGGGAUUAGGAAACUCCUGCUCUUUUUGCUGUACUUUCUGCUGUACUUUGUGGGGGACUUUGUACUUUUCCAACCCUCCUAAUCCCAAAGACCUGCAGCCAGCCUGCCCAGGCCAUCUCCUCCUCCUGCUGGUACCAGGGUGCUGGUGCUGAGGCUGUGGGGGGCUGCGAGCAUCCCCCUGCGAUGGCAGAGGGACAAAAAGGAGUUUCUCCAGACAUGAACCGAUGGCUUUUGUAAUGGUUGCUCAGUCCCACUGGGGCUUCACAGUGUUAUUAAUGGUGUCAGGCCAACCUGGAGCCCUGGGAAAGGUGCUAAAAGUGGGAGGAAUCACAGAAUCUUCUAGGUUGGAAGGGACCUUAAAGAUCAUCUUGUCCAACCGUCAACCCAACUGACAAAAAUAGACACCCACACAACAAACAAGGAGCAUCAUCACUAAACCAGACCUCCCAGCACUACAUCAACCCGUCUUUUGAACACCUCCAGGGAUGGGGCCUCAACCCCCUCCCUGGGCAGCCCAUUCCAAGGGCUGAGAACCCUUUCAGUGACAAAAUUUUUCCUAAUAUCCAGCCUGAACCUCCCCUGGCGCAACUUGAGGCCAUUUCCUCUUGAAAGGACUUGCUCUCCAGUGGGAUGCCAUCGUCCCAAGGAGGCCAGUCACUGUGAGGCAGGGGGGAACAGCCCUGAGCCCCUCGCACGGGGCAGCUCCCAUAGCAGAGCCCUCUCGCUCCCAGUGCCCUGUGUUGUUUGGAGCAGAGGGAAGUGGCUCCUUGUUUGGAUGGGAUUUGGUUGG
rnacentral:lncRNA from 1 species